rnacentral:rRNA from 1 species
UGGGGAAUAUUGCACAAUGGGGGAAACCCUGAUGCAGCGACGCCGCGUGAACGAAGAAUGUAUUCGUAUCGUAAAGUUCUGUCCUAUGGGAAGAUAAUGACAGUACCAUAGAAGAAAGCUCCGGCUAAAUACGUGCCAGCAGCCGCGGUAAUACGUAUGGAGCGAGCGUUGUCCGGAAUUAUUGGGCGUAAAGGGUACGCAGGCGGUUUAAUAAGUCGAAUGUUAAAGAUCGGGGCUCAACCCCGCAAAGCAUUGGAAACUGAUAAACUUGAGUAGUGGAGAGGAAAGUGGAAUUCCUAGUGUAGUGGUGAAAUACGUAGAUAUUAGGAGGAAUACCAGUAGCGAAGGCGACGUUCUGGACACAAACUGACGCUGAGGUACGAAAGCGUGGGGAGCAAACAGG